rnacentral:rRNA from 1 species
UGAGGGAUAUUGCACAAUGGGGGAAACCCUGAUGCAGCGACGCCGCGUGGGUGAAGAAGGCUUUCGGGUCGUAAAACCCUUUUACAGGUGACGAGAAAGGACGGUAGCCUGUGAAUAAGUCUCGGCUAACUACGUGCCAGCAGCCGCGGUAAAACGUAGGAGACGAGCGUUAUCCGGAAUUAUUGGGCGUAAAGGGCUCGUAGGCGGUUUGUCGCGUCGGGAGUGAAAACUCAGGGCUUAACCCUGAGC